GCUCAGUCAGAAUCAACAGUUUGCAGGCGAGGAAGAAGAAUAUGAGGUGUUUUCUGGACUAAUAAAGGGACAAGAAAAACGAUGACAUAACAUUCCAGCAAUACUGGUAAGACCAUCUGAUCAAACAACUGUAACUGGGUUUCAUCAGUUUCAACUCAGUCCACUUGAAUGCAUCUCCAAUCACAACGUGACUUCUGUCACUGUAAUUUGAGGGACUAAAAAUAGCUGAAACUUUUCGUUGUUUCCAUGAGAGAGUUGCAGCCCAAUCGCCUGCUGUGAAGUGAUCCUGUUACCCCACUCUGGUGUGUGAUUAGCGGUCUGGACUCCUCACCAGUCCAGCACCCUUAGGCUGUAUGCUAAGCGAAAGGAAGGAGGCCGGGGACUAGUGAGCAUCAGCACUACGGUGCAGGAUGAGGUAGCGAACAUCCACGAAUACAUCGGUAAGAUGCCCCCAACCGACCGCAUGCUGAGGCAGCAGAAACCCAAGAAAGAGGAGGAAGAGGAGGCACUAUCAUGGAAGGACAGGCUCCUGCAUGGCAUGUACCACCAGCAGAUAGAGGAGGUGGCUGGACAAAGCUGGACUGA